rnacentral:rRNA from 1 species
GACAGAGGGUGCAAACGUUUGUUCGGAAUUACUGGGCGUAAAGCGCGUGUAGGCGGCCCUGCAAGUCGGGUGUGAAAUCCCACGGCUCAACCGUGGAAGUGCACUCGAAACUGCAGGGCUAGAGUCCUGGAGAGGAAGGUGGAAUGCUUGGUGUAGAGGUGAAAUUCGUAGAUAUCAAGCGGAACACCGGUGGCGAAGGCGGCCUUCUGGACCGACACUGACGCUGAGGCGCGAAAGCGUGGGGAGCAAACAGG